UUCAGAUUUUAAAAAUUUGAAUAAAAAAUGUAUAAGCUUUAAUGCAUUUAACAAAAUAACAGAAGCAGUUAAAUGUCAAAGGUUUCAUUUUCAUUUUUCAGUUUUAUUGACAAAUAACAACUUGCAAAGGAGUGGAAAAAGGGGGAAUCAGGAUUAGGCUUAAAAUAAAGUCUUGAGAUUCAUUUAUUAUAGGCUUAGAACUGAACAAAUACUUGUAAUUGGCUCAGAGGAAGACAGGAAUCAUGUCUUUGUGGCUGUUUUUCUGGCUUUGUCAGUGUGAGUGGUAACAUGGAUUUGAAGCUAUUCAAUAAGUGGUUUAAACUUGAAGAAUCUGAAGGAUUGAGAAAGACAAAUCCAGCACAUCAAGAGGAAAAACCAGAGGAAAAACAUCCACUGUGGGAGGAACAUAAUAUCUCUAAUGCCCAGCAAUAUGAUGAAGCCAAAGUACCUGUGCAAUUUUACAGGGUGAACGGAUGGCGGAGGAGGAGACAUAUAUCAGGUCAGAGCUAAACAUCAUUUUUGAGAUGCUUCUUUCUUCUUUUUUGCAUUUUAAUACCAGUUACUAUUUUUGUUAAUCCUUCCCAAUGUGUUUCAUAUGGGAAUUGCUUAUUUUUGUUUCUCUAUUGAUUUCUCUAACUAGCCAGAGUGUUUUGAGACCUGCAUCAAAGACACAGUGGACUCAGGUGAGGACUCUGAACCAGACAGGCCACCUAAUGCCUUCUGCACCCAGCUCUUCACAAUGGAAAAGAAGUUUGAAAUGAGAAUGUCUGACAGAGGUGUAGAAAUUCAUUGUGCCAGUGAGACGAGACGACAGAUAUUCUACCCGCUGGAGGAGCUAGGCAUCAAUGCACCAUCCCAGCAGAUCACCAAACAACAGUCCUCAUCUCAGAUUUAACAACCUCACUCUCAUCUCCACUCACGGUCUUCCAGAUCGCUACUCUGAUGACAACAUGAGAUUUCUGGCUACAAGUCACUGCUACAGUGAUCAGGAUCAAGCCCAGCUGUCUUUGCGCUCCUGGAUCAGCAUGGUGAUGGAUAAGAUGAAGGCCAUCGAAAGCAAGGCCAAACACCUGGAGCUGAUGGAGAAUGGUGAUGCUGUGCUGUAUGGAAACACUAUAGACAUGUUCACCUGCGUUGAGACACUCAUGCAUCUCGGUGUCAGCGGCCGUCGGAUUCAUGUUGUCCAUCCUCCUGAAGAAGAUCCAUUUUCCUGUUUCCACAACGUUUCAGUGGAGCAUGCAGUAAAACAAGCACUAGAAAAGGAGGAAGUCCAUGUCCAUCACGACUGCCUGUUGACACAAAUCAACGAUGGACAACACACAGAUCCUGUGACAUUAGUGUCCUUCACCACUGAUGCUCAGACUUUACGACUGGAGUCCGCUAUGUUCUUCAUCUUCUCUCAUAAAACUUUCGACUAUGAUGCCUUUAAGGCCAUCAGUGAUGCCUGUUUGGUGUUCGAUGGCCGUUUGGUCAUAGAUUCCUACUUCCACACCAAUGACCCCUCCAUAUACGCCGCAGGCCCCUUGACCAAAUACUCCCGCUGUUACCAUGCCGACCAGUGGAGCGACUCCUGCAUUAAUUCUAAGGAGGUGGGGCAGAGUUUGGCAUCUGUUCUCCUGCCCUUAUGUGACCCGACCCUGGAGCGUCCCGCCGGCCCACCGUCUGACCACAACCACCUCAUUCCAGUGUAUAAUCAGGCCAAGAUCCAAGAGAGAACUGGUUCUUGGCUCUUUAUCACGACCGCUUUGCUGACUUUGAACAGGAAGUACGGCAAAUCAUGGACUCUGCCAAACUAGAGGGUGAGAAUGAUUCAGUGCCGAUACAAGAGGCUCUUUAGAAGAUAGCGUAUGAUAAAGGAGAGUCCGAUCAGUCAGUGAGUCUCAGCGAGGUGUUUCAGAAAAGAGAGGCUUAUUCUGCUCUGAGGUAAAGAGUUCUGGAUUAUCUGAAGUACAACAGAUACCCUCUGACUAUGUACUUCCGGCCGGGAAUGCUGGAAUCAAUAUCCAUUUAAUAUUUAGAAGUAUUUAUUCAGUACUUUAUCUUUUUUUAUUAUUUCUUUAUUUCCUCCAUUUGCUGCACCAUAUGUUUGGGGGGAACACAUUGUGGGGGUUGGGGCUCAAAUAACUUCACAGCAAAUAAAUAAAGCUUCUUGUUUUGUCA
ensembl:lncRNA